rnacentral:misc_RNA from 1 species
GAUGAAGAACGCAGCGAAACGCGAUAGUUAAUGUGAAUUGCAGAAUUCAGUGAAUCAUCGAGUCUUUGAACGCACAUUGCGCCUAUUGGUAUUCCAUUGGGCAUGUCUGUUUGAGCGUCAUUACAACAUCUCAGCGUUAAGCUGGUUAUGGGCUUCUAUUUUAUUAUUAGAAAAAAAUAGGCCUAAAAGUUAGUAUGCUCUGCAGGCUGCUUUGCCAAACAAAAAACAUAGUACAAUUUAUUCUUUGUUUAUAGCGAGGCUUUGCAUGCUCUGCCUGAAGAAAUAAAAAUCUUUUGUUCAAAAAGGUUUGACCUCAGAUCAGACAAGGAUACCCGCUGAACUUAAGCAUAUCAAUAAGCGGAGGA